CCUGCCCCUCAGUUGGGCAGUUCGUCGACUCUGCUCUUAGAUGAUCCAAUGAUCAAAGAGCUUCUUCGGAUCGGGUCCCAAUUUGUUGGGUACCGUGAAUAUGCCGCCAGAGCCGAAGAAAAACUUUCAGAGGCUAACGAACGCGCCGACGCACUGGCUCAAAAACUUGAGCAAAGUGAGGCGGCUCGCAAGAAAGCCGAACUCGCUGCUAGCAAAGCCAAGGUCGAAGCCGAUGAAGCUAAGGCGAAAGCUGCUGGUGUCGAGGAACUGCAGAAGAAACUUGAGGA